UCGAGAAUCUUCGGCAAUGGGCGCAAGCCUGACCGAGCGACGCCGCGUGGAGGACGAAGGCCUUCGGGUUGUAAACUCCUGUCGAGGGGGAAGAAGGGGUCCGCGAGGACCCUUGACUGAUCCCUGGAGGAAGCACGGGCUAAGUUCGUGCCAGCAGCCGCGGUAAGACGAACCGUGCGAACGUUAUUCGGAAUCACUGGGCUUAAAGCGCGUGUAGGCGGGACGGCACGUCCGGUGCUGAAAUCCCCCGGCUCAACCGGGGAACGGGCACGGAUACGACCGCCCUGGAGGGGCGUAGGGGGAUCUGGAACUUCCGGUGGAGCGGUGAAAUGCGUUGAGAUCGGAAGGAACGCCCGUGGCGAAAGCGAGGUCCUGGACGCCUACUGACGCUGAGACGCGAAAGCCAGGGGAGCGAACGG
rnacentral:rRNA from 1 species